UGGGGAAUAUUGGACAAUGGGGGCAACCCUGAUCCAGCCAUGCCGCGUGUGUGAAGAAGGCCUUAGGGUUGUAAAACACUUUCAGCGGGGAAGAUGAUGACGGUACCCGCAGAAGAAGCCCCGGCUAACUCCGUGCCAGCAGCCGCGGUAAUACGGAGGGGCUAGCGUUGUUCGGAAUUACUGGGCGUAAAGGGCGUGUAGGCGGCCUGCCAAGUCAGAUGUGAAAGCCCCGGGCUUAACCUGGGAACUGCAUUUGAGACUGGCCGGCUAGAGGUUGGAAGAGGAGAGUGGAAUUCCCAGUGUAGAGGUGAAAUUCGUAGAUAUUGGGAAGAACACCAGUGGCGAAGGCGGCUCUCUGGUCCACACCUGACGCUGAGGCGCGAAAGCGUGGGGAGCAAACAGGAUUAGAUACCCCCGUAGUCCCUGAGCGGGCUGGCAAGGCGCAU
rnacentral:rRNA from 1 species